UGGGGUUUGUUUACCCGGGAACCAGCCUGUAACUCCUGGGGAGAGGAGGGCGGAGAGGGGGGAAGUGCGGGAGAGAGUGAGAGAGCGAGGCAACUCGGGGCUCAAAACAGUCAAAUUCAAAUUAAAAGGUCAAGACACGAUUCAGGAAACGGAAUCUGGAGAAUAACUUGUCUUUCCGGUCGCCCCGCAUUUUCUCCUGGACCGAGCCUUGGGUUUUGACUUUCCGAAGGGCCGGAGCCUGGCCAAGAAAGGACCCGAGCUCCGGUCGCCCUGGUGUGGAGUAAGGAGGCUGGAUCGCUUCUAGGGAGGCCCAAGCCCGCGGCUGCUAGAAGGAGACUUCAGAAAGAAAUCUGCCGAAUUCUCUCAUCCAGAGGGUGAGAGAGAAGGCGCAGGGGUACCUGAACCCCGGGAAAACUGGCAGAAAAUGCGUAAUAUGUGACUUGCUGUCAGGGCCAGCCUGGGGAGAUUUGAAAUGGUUUUGUGUUUUCAUUUGCAGGGGUUGCCGUGGGCUCGGCACAGGGGGUUGGGCCGGGCAAGGUUAGGCUGUUUAGGCCCCAGACGAGACUUGGGACAGCCUGGGCGGCAGUCAAUCCAGGGAGCCAUUUGCCCCACCGCCCACCCCGCGGGAAACUCGGAGACUUUAUGGCCACUCUGUUUGUAUUAUCUGCAUAAGUCUUUCCCCACCAGUUUGAUCGAAACUGUUCGCUUUUACGAGGACCCAACGAAAAUUCCCCGUCAUAUUUAUCAGCCGGGGAUAAAAAUUUAGUAUGGGAACUGAUAUUUCCUCAUUUAUGGGGCGAUGAAAUUAAAGACCAAAGCAAUUGAGAAUUAUAUGGCUUUGGGGGGUUCCCUCCCCUCUCUUUCACAUCUCCUUUAUUUUCCUGCCUAGUGUGCCUGUCCCUGGAGUUUGGCAUCCCAGUCCUCUGCCCUUGCCCUGCAUUUUGGGGUCUGCUGGGCCCUCUCCCCGACACCCAGGUGCUGCUUGGUCACCUCAGCUUUCCCUGGUCUUUCUCUUGGUGUUGGUAGCUGGGGGCCGGACAACAAUCCCUGAGCCUCUGCCCAGGCCAGGCUGGAAUCGGCUGGGGCUGGGGGCUGUGGAAGGUUUCGAAGAGUCUCGAAGGUGAAGGGUCUGAGCCCAGCCCAACCCGGGAAGGGGUGAGGGAGGUGGCAAAGUGUAGGAGACAAACUCCAGAUAGCCUCUCAAAAACAUCAAGCCCCACAGCUUAACCUGAGGAACCAGCGGGAGAGAAGCAGUCACUCGGCCUGGCAACCUGUCUCCCCCUCCCAGCCGACCCCCGUCCCAGACUCACUCCUUACCUCAGCCCUGGAAGGGACUGGAGUUGCUUUCAGAAUCCUUGCCAUUAUUAAUGGAAAUAAUCCCCCCAGGAGGAAGGAGCCUCCUGCCUCCACUCCCAUCUCCUCACAAGAACGAAUAGUGUUUAAAGUUGAAAUAAUUAAAAGUAUGAUAAACACGG